rnacentral:rRNA from 1 species
AGCGAACGCUGGCGGCGUGCCUAACACAUGCAAGUCGAACGUGAAAGGGAGCAAUCCCAAGUAAAGUGGCGUACGGGUGAGUAACACGUAGGUAAUCUACCCCAGAAUCUGGAAUAACUGGCCGAAAGGCUGGCUAAUACUGGAUAGAGCGACGGAAUCCGUAAUUGGGUUUUUCGGGAAAGGGAGCCUGUAAAAAGGCCUUCGUUCUGGGAUGAGCCUGCGUCCCAUCAGCUCGUUGGUGAGGUAAAAGCUUACCAAGGCAAUGACGGGUAGCUGGUCUGAGAGGACGAUCAGCCACACUGGAACUGAAACACGGGCCAGACUCCUACGGGAGGCAGCAGGGGGGAAUCUUGCGCAAUGGACGAAAGUCUGAAGCAGCAAAGCCGGGGGAGUGAAGAAGGCCUUCGGGUUGGAAAGCUCUGUCGAGUGGGAAGGAAAUGCUUGGAGUUAACAGCUCCAGGAACUGACGGUACCACUAAAGGAAGCACCGGCUAACUACGUG